GCCUGGGUGGCUCAAUCAGUUAAGCGUCUGACUUGGGCUCAGAUCAUGAUCUCAUGGCUUGUGGGUUGGAGCCCCACGUCGGGCU
rnacentral:tRNA from 1 species